AGAGUUUGAUCCUGGCUCAGAACGAACGCUGGCGGCGUGCCUAACACAUGCAAGUCGAGCGAGAAAAGGGGGGCAACUCCCUGAGUAAAGCGGCGAACGGGUGAGUAACACGUAGGUGAUCUACCUCCGAGACCAGGAUAACCCGCCGAAAGGCGGGCUAAUACCGGAUAUGACCACGGGCGCUUCGGCGCCUGCGGUGAAAGGUGGCCUCUGCUUGCAAGCUACCACUCGAAGAUGAGCCUGCGCGCCAUUAGCUAGUUGGCGGGGUAACGGCCCACCAAGGCGAUGAUGGCUAGCUGGUCUGAGAGGAUGGCCAGCCACACUGGAACUGAAACACGGUCCAGACUCCUACGGGAGGCAGCAGUGGGGGAUAUUGCGCAAUGGGCGAAAGCCUGACGCAGCGACGCCGCGUGGGUGAUGAAGGCCUUCGGGUCGUAAAGCCCUGUCGAAGGGGACGAAACGGUUCCGAUCUAACACGUCGGAGCCCUGACGGUACCCUUAAAGGAAGCACCGGCUAACUCCGUGCCAGCAGCCGCGGUAAUACGGAGGGUGCGAGCGUUGUUCGGAAUCACUGGGCGUAAAGGGCGUGUAGGCGGUCCGCUAAGUCUGAUGUGAAAGCCCGGGGCUCACCCCCGGAAGGGCAUUGGAAACUGGCGGACUCGAGUCCCGGAGAGGAGGGUGGAAUUCCUGGUGUAGCGGUGAAAUGCGUAGAUAUCAGGAGGAACACCGGUGGCGAAGGCGGCCCUCUGGACGGUGACUGACGCUGAGACGCGAAAGCGUGGGGAGCAAACAGGAUUAGAUACCCUGGUAG
rnacentral:rRNA from 1 species